CAGGCUUAACACAUGCAAGUCGAGGGGUAUUAGUUUUCGGACUAAGAGACCGGCGCACGGGUGCGUAACGCGUAUGCAAUCUACCUUUUACAGAGGGAUAGCCCAGAGAAAUUUGGAUUAAUACCUCAUAGUAUAGCAGUUUCGCAUGAAACCACUAUUAAAGUCACAACGGUAAAAGAUGAGCAUGCGUCCCAUUAGCUAGUUGGUAAGGUAACGGCUUACCAAGGCUACGAUGGGUAGGGGUCCUGAGAGGGAGAUCCCCCACACUGGUACUGAGACACGGACCAGACUCCUACGGGAGGCAGCAGUGAGGAAUAUUGGACAAUGGGCGCAAGCCUGAUCCAGCCAUGCCGCGUGCAGGAUGACGGUCCUAUGGAUUGUAAACUGCUUUUGUACGAGAAGAAACACUCCUAUGUAUAGGAGCUUGACGGUAUCGUAAGAAUAAGGAUCGGCUAACUCCGUGCCAGCAGCCGCGGUAAUACGGAGGAUCCAAGCGUUAUCCGGAAUCAUUGGGUUUAAAGGGUCCGUAGGCGGUUUAGUAAGUCAGUGGUGAAAGCCCAUCGCUCAACGGUGGAACGGCCAUUGAUACUGCUGAACUUGAAUUAUUAGGAAGUAACUAGAAUAUGUAGUGUAGCGGUG
rnacentral:rRNA from 1 species